UCUCUCCGACGCGAAAACUUGGGCAUAACACCAGUUUGGAAUAUAUUACUCUUCAGUGAAUUUUGACAGAGGCAUAUCCUCCUGCGAUCCCAACUCCUGGCAAGACGUAGAAAAGCCCAGGGCCCUGGAAAGUUCCCUGCUGCCUCCUCCGAAUCUGUCCCCUCCUCUGUCUGAGAGGUGAUCUCUGUCCCAAGUUUUCCUCAGAAAUGGAGUUGUCUGGUCUUGGCCAUUCUAGAACUUUUGUCUUACAGAACGUGCUCCAGCGUCUGGCUGUUUUGGCUCAGCGUAACAUUCUUGACAUUCAUGGGUGUUUGUGUGUAUAUUAGAGUUUUUUUUCCUUUCUGUGGCUGAGUUGAAUUCCACUGUGUAAAUAAAUCACAGGGUGCCUAUCCAUUUCCCUAUUCUAGGCUGUUUCCAGAUCAAGUUAUUAAAGCUGCUGCCCCCAUCCUGG